rnacentral:rRNA from 1 species
UACGUAGGGGGCAGGCGUUGUCCGGAUUUAUUGGGCGUAAAAGGCUUGUAGGUGGCCACGCCAAGUCGGAUGUGAAAUCUCCCGGCUCAACUGGGAGGGGUCAUUCGAUACUGGCGGGCUCGAGGCCGGUAGGGGGAAGUGGAAUUCCCGGUGUAGUGGUGGAAUGCGUAGAGAUCGGGAAGAACAUCGGUGGCGAAGGCGGUCUGCUGGGCCGUUGCUGACGCUGAGGCGCGACAGCGUGGGGAGCGAACAGG